GUGUGUGCGCGCGCGCGGAGAAGGGAGGCUGGGUGGGCGGGAAGUGGGGGGAAGGGAAGAAACUUGGAUAAUUGUCUAGGCAUUUCCAUUCAGCCCUAGUGGCAAUGAAAGAAAGAUGUACAUACCUCAGAACCCUUCGCAGUGAAUACCUAAUAAUUACUGUCACCCUGGUGAGGAACAUGUCAAUAUGAUGUGCUUGGCACCAGGAGAAGUCGAGGCACCACUCUCAUUCUUCCACAAGUUAAGGUUCUUCACUGUGGCACAGAGGCCUGCUCAAAU
rnacentral:lncRNA from 1 species